rnacentral:rRNA from 1 species
ACUCCUACGGGAGGCAGCAGUUAGGAAUCUUCCACAAUGGGCGAAAGCCUGAUGGAGCGACGCCGCGUGAGGGAUGAAGGCCUUAGGGUUGUAAACCUCUAAAAGAGGGACGAUAAUGACGGUACCUCUUGAAUAGCACCGGCUAACUCCGUGCCAGCAGCCGCGGUAAU